CGUCUGCUCUCUCGACCCAUGGGCCCCAUCCCAUUCGACGAACGGUCCGUUAAUUUUCCAAGGCUCGAAAUCACUUUUUACUGACCCUGCAAUCACCACCCAACCUUUUUCCUUGCUUUGGCCUCACUCGCAAGCUAUCGUGAAUCACUUCCCGAUAGGUCACCCAUCCUUCCACUACUCUAGCUGAAGCUUAACUCUGGAGUUCUUUCAGGAUGUGUUCCGGAAAAGCUAAGUCAACUUUGGUGACAUAGAUAGCCAAAUCAAUUCUCUUAAGCCUUUUUCACAUAUCACAACUCGGGAUGUUACAAUUCACCCCCU
rnacentral:lncRNA from 1 species